rnacentral:misc_RNA from 1 species
UGGCAAAGCGGGCAGAAGG